AAUAUUGGACAAUGGGCGCAAGCCUGAUCCAGCCAUGCCGCGUGAGUGAUGAAGGCCUUAGGUUUGUAAAUCUCUUUCACCGAAGAAGCUAAUGACGGUAGUCGGCGGAGAAGCCCCGGCUAACUUCGUGCCAGCAGCCGCGGUAAUACGAAGGGGGCUAGCGUUGUUCGGAUUUACUGGGCGUAAAGCGCACGUAGGCGGAUUGGUCAGUUAGAGGUGAAAUCCCGAAGCUACACUUCGGAACUACCUUUAAUACUGCCAGUCUCGAGUCCGGAAGAGGUAAGUGGAACUCCUAGUGUAGAGGUGGAAUUCGUAGAUAUUAGGAAGAACACCAGUGGCGAAGGCGGCUUACUGGUCCGGAACUGACGCUGAGGUGCGAAAGCGUGGGGAGCAAACAG
rnacentral:rRNA from 1 species